UGGGGAAUUUUGGACAAUGGGCGAAAGCCUGAUCCAGCAAUGCCGCGUGUGUGAAGAAGGCCUUCGGGUUGUAAAGCACUUUUGUCCGGAAAGAAAUCCUUGGCUCUAAUACAGUCGGGGGAUGACGGUACCGGAAGAAUAAGCACCGGCUAACUACGUGCCAGCAGCCGCGGUAAUACGUAGGGUGCAAGCGUUAAUCGGAAUUACUAGGCGUAAAGCGUGCGCAGGCGGUUUGCUAAGACCGAUGUGAAAUCCCCGGGCUCAACCUGGGAACUGCAUUGGUGACUGGCAGGCUAGAGUAUGGCAGAGGGGGGUAGAAUUCCACGUGUAGCAGUGAAAUGCGUAGAGAUGUGGAGGAAUACCGAUGGCGAAGGCAGCCCCCUGGGCCAAUACUGACGCUCAUGCACGAAAGCGUGGGGAGCAAACAGGAUUCAGAUACCCUGGUAGUCCACGCCCUAAACGAUGUCAACUAGUUGUUGGGGAUUCAUUUCCUUAGUAACGUAGCUAACGCGUGAAGUUGA
rnacentral:rRNA from 1 species